AUGCGGUCACUGUGAACUCUGGAAAACAACUGUGAAGUUAAGCACUUUGACACUGCGACAAACUGCACCAGGCAAGCAAAUGUAUUACACAAACAAAUAAAAAACUGUUAGCUAGUUUUAAAGUGAUGCUGUGGUUUAGGUAGCUUGUUUAGGUAGCAGCAGUGGAGACAGGAGAACCAUCGUCACAGAAAACAAGUGCUGUGGGACAAUGUGACAUGGAUAUAUGGAUACGGACCUUUAAUUACACCUUCAGUCUCAAAUAAGCUCUACAUGUGACCCUCAACUCUAACGUGGCGUUCUCUCAAGAUCAUCCUGCAUCACCUGAGACGCAUCAUGUUUUUCAUGCCAGAUAUCGUCCUCUAAAUCUUGGACACUUGAACAGGACAGACAGGCAAUCAGAAAGACGGAUUCAGGGGACUCUUACCACCGGUCCCUGAGUCCCUGG